CGGAUCCGACGGUGAGGGACGAAGCCGUGGGUCGCAAACGGGAUUAGAUACCCCGGUAGUCCAGGGUGUAAACGCUGCAGACUUGGUGUUGGGGGCCCUACGGGGGCGUUCAGUGCCGGAGAGAAGUUGUUAAGUCUGCUACUUGGGGAGUACGUCCGCAAGGAUGAAACUUAAAGGAAUUGGCGGGGGAGCACCGCAACGGGAGGAGCGUGCGGUUUAAUUGGAUUCAACACCGGAAAACUCACCAGCGGCGACUGUUACAUGAAAGUCAGGCCGAUGACCUUACUAGAUUUUCAGAGAGGUGGUGCAUGGCCGUCGUCAGUUCGUACCGUAAGGCGUUCUCUUAAGUGAGAUAACGAACGAGACCCUCACCAAUAGUUGCUACCCAGUCCUCCGGGGCUGGGGCACACUAUUGGGACCGCUGGCGCUAAGUCAGAGGAAGGAGAGGUCAACGGUAGGUCAGUAUGCCCCGAAUCUGCUGGGCUACACGCGCGCUACAAAGGGCGGGACAAUGGGCUCCGACACCGAAAGGUGAAGGUAAUCCCGAAACCCGUCCGUAGUUCGGAUUGAGGGUUGUAACUCGCCCUCAUGAAGCUGGAUUCCGUAGUAAUCGCGAAUCAACAACUCGCGGUGAAUAUGCCCCUGCUCCUUGCACACACCG
rnacentral:rRNA from 1 species